GGAGCCGCCGGGGCCGAGGCUGCCGCUGCUGACUCGGAGGAGCGAUGUAGGUCAGAACGAGUUCCCUGAAGCAGAGCGGGAGAAGAGGAGCCGCAGUCCCCACGGAGGAUGAGCAAGCGCCGUGUCCUGUCGCAAGAGCAGCGAAGCGGGACGGAGACCUCGCCGCGAAGCGCGGAGCUGCGGAGAAGAGGCAAGCCCGGGAUGAGGGGACGCUCCAGGACAGGCAGGGCAUUCAGGGACUGGAUUUUAACCCCUCGGAGGUGUCUCCAGCCGUCACCUCCGCUCCCCAGCGCUGCAGCAGGCAGGGGCCGUGAGCGGGCUGGGGACAUUUCCGAGGGACUCCCACU